GACGAACGCUGGCGGCGUGCCUAAUACAUGCAAGUCGAGCGGACGAAUCGAAAGCUUGCUUUUGAUUCGUUAGCGGCGGACGGGUGAGUAACACGUGGGCAACCUGCCCUGUAGACGGGGAUAACAACGAGAAAUCGGUGCUAAUACCGGAUAACACGAAAUUUCGCAUGACGUUUCGUUGAAAGACGGCGCAAGCUGUCGUUACAGGAUGGGCCCGCGGCGCCUUCGCAAGUUGGUAAGGUAACGGCUCACCAAGGCGACUAUGCGUAGCCGAACUGAGAGGGUGAUCGGCCACACUGGAACUGAGACACGGCCCAGACUCCUACGGGAGGCAGCAGUAGGGAAUCUUCCGCAAUGAACGAAAGUCUGACGGAGCAACGCCGCGUGAGCGAAGAAGGCCUUCGGAUCGUAAAGCUCUGUUGUUAGGGAAGAACAAGUAACGCAGUAACUGGCGUUACCGUGACGGUACCUAACGAGAAAGCCACGGCUAACUACGUG
rnacentral:rRNA from 1 species